UACGUAGGUGGCGAGCGUUAUCCGGAAUUAUUGGGCGUAAAGAGUGAGCAGGCGGCAGUCAAAGUCUGGAGUUAAAACGUGUGGCUCAACCAUACGUUGCUUUGGAAACUAGACAGCUAGAGUGCAGGAGAGGUUAGCGGAAUUCCAUGUGUAGCGGUAAAAUGCGUAGAUAUAUGGAGGAACACCAGUGGCGAAGGCGGCUAACUGGCCUGUAACUGACGCUCAGUCACGAAAGCGUGGGGAGCAAAUAGG
rnacentral:rRNA from 1 species